UACGAAGGGUGCAAGCGUUAGUCGGAAUUACUGGGCGUAAAGCGUGCGUAGGCGGUUUCCUAAGUCGGAUGUGAAAGCCCUGGGCUCAACCUGGGAAUGGCACUCGGUACUGGGAAGCUGGAGUGCGGUAGAGGAGGGUGGAAUUUCCGGUGUAGCGGUGAAAUGCGUAGAUAUCGGAAGGAACAUCAGUGGCGAAGGCGACUUCCUGGACCAAUACUGACGCUCAGGUGCGAAAGCGUGGGGAGCAAACAGG
rnacentral:rRNA from 1 species